rnacentral:rRNA from 1 species
CCUGCCCUUAGACGGGGGACAACAUUCCGAAAGGAGUGCUAAUACCGGAUGUGAUCCAUUUCCCGCAUGGGAGACGGAUGAAAGAUGGCCUCUAUUUAUAAGCUAUCGCUAAAGGAUGGGCCUGCGUCUGAUUAGCUAGUUGGUAGUGUAACGGACUACCAAGGCGAUGAUCAGUAGCCGGUCUGAGAGGAUGAACGGCCACAUUGGGACUGAGACACGGCCCAACUCCUACGGGAGGCAGCAGUGGGGAAUCUUCCGCAAUGGGCGAAAGCCUGACGGAGCAACGCCGCGUGAGUGAUGAAGGUUUUCGGACUGUAAAGCUCUGUUGUCAGGGACGAAUGCGCAGACUGUGAAUAAUUGUUUGCGUUGACGGUACCUGACGAGGAAGCCACGGCUAACUACGUGCCAGCAGCCGCGGUAAUACGUAGGUGGCAAGCGUUGUCCGGAAUUAUUGGGCGUAAAGAGCAUGUAGGCGGGCCUUUAAGUCCGACGUGAAAAUGCGGGGCUCAACCCCGUAUGGCGUUGGAAACUGUAGGUCUUGAGUGCAGGAGAGGAAAGGGGAAUUCCCAGUGUAGCGGUGAAAUGCGUAGAUAUUGGGAGGAACACCAGUGGCGAAGGCGCCUUUCUGGACUGUGUCUGACGCUGAGAUGCGAAAGCCAGGGUAGCAAACGGGAUUAGAUACCCCGGUAGUCCUGGCCGUAAACGAUGGGUACUA